rnacentral:rRNA from 1 species
UAAAGGGCUGCAGUAUAUUGACUGUACAAAGGUAGCAUAAUCAUUAGUCUUUUAAUUGAAGACUUGUAUGAAAGAUUUGAUGAAAUAUAAACUGUCUCUAAUUUAUAAAUAGAAAUUAAUUUUUUAAUUAAAAAGUUAAAAUAUUAUUAAAAGACGAGAAGACCCUAUAGAGUUUUAUAAUUUAUUUAUUUAUUUAUAAAAUAUAUAUUUAAAUUUAAUAAAUAUAUAAAUUAUUAUAUUGGGGUGAUAAAAAAAUUUAAUAAACUUUUUUUUAAUUAAAUAACAUAAAUAAAUGAAAAAAUGAUCCAUUAUUAAUGAUUAAAAGAAAAAAUUACCUUAGGGAUAACAGCGUAAUAUUUUUUUUUAGUACAAAUAAAAAAAAAAGUUUGCGACCUCGAUGUUGGAUUAAGAUAAAAUUUAAAUGCAAAAGUUUAAAAGUUUUGAUCUGUUCGAUCAUUAAAAUCUUACAUGAUCUGAGCU